GUGACCUCAUUCGCAUGUGUUUAUUUAAUCAUAUCUGUGAUGUCGUAGAGGGAAGGAGAAAGUGCUCUGCUCUUGUUCUAUGAAAUAUUCAGUUGCAGCUCGAAAUGAGGGCGUUCCAUCCUGCACGAUGAGCUCCCGUACUUUUUUCCGGGAACACAAUAUUCCCCUUUUACCAUUAUUAGAGAAUGCAGAAGGAAAGAGAAAAAAAAAAGAUGAUAAAUGGUUUGUAAGAGAAUCUAAUAAAAUCUAGCCAUAACGCCACGGGCAAUGGUAUGUGCCCAGUCGUAAGUGUUACCUCGGGGAUUACGGCUAGCCCACAAAACCCUACACUGUUAACUUUCGCUGUAGAUUUAGCAGCACAGUACUGUAAAAACCUACAGUACAAUACUGCAUUUCUAUAUUACAGUAAAAUACCGUAAUUUGCAUUGCAUUCUGGGUAAUUUUGUUUGAGCGGGAACAUUUUACAGUACAUUUUAGUGUUGCUGUAACCUAGCUGUAACCUGGCUGUAACAUGCCAGGCAAAUAUACAGGGUUGCUGUAAACAGAGAGCGCGCGCGCCGCCUGACUGACGUCAGAGCACAACUGCGGCAGUUCACUCACUCAGCGCGGAUAUCUCACUCUGCGGAUAUCUGGAAAUUUGCUCUACAGUGUGGGACAAUUUGCAGCCUGGGAAGGAGUUUUAUUUUUGGUCAUCGGUCCAAGGUUCCAGUACCACCUCAAAAUCCCAGCCAAGUU